rnacentral:ncRNA from 1 species
AUGUUCUUCGAGCUGUUUAACCUAAAGGAGUAUCCUAUGGUUUUGCAGCCAGGGUGGUUCCGGAAACGGGGUUGCCUUCCGUGUUUGAAAAGGAGACA